rnacentral:rRNA from 1 species
UGCAAGUCGAACGGCAAAGGUCGCAAGACCGAGUAAGUGGCGAAAGGGUGAGUAGUACUCGGGCAAUCUGCCCCUGGGACUGGGAUAGCCUCGGGAAACUGAGAGUAAUACCAGACGGGCUCACGAGGGCUGAGGCUUUCGCGAGUAAACGGAGGGGAUCCGCAAGGACCUUCCGCCCAGUGAGGAGCUCGAGCCCUAUCAGGUAGUUGGCGGGGUAACGGCCCACCAAGCCUACGACGGGUAUCCGGACUGAGAGGUUGGCCGGACACACUGGCACUGAGACACUGGCCAGACUCCUACGGGAGGCUGCAGUCGAGAAUUUUCCGCAAUGGGGGCAACCCUGACGGAGCGACGCCGCGUGAAGGAAGAAGGCCUUCGGGUUGUAAACUUCUGUCACGACUUACGAAUGCGCCAGGCAUAACAACCUGGUGUUGACGAAGGGUCGGAAGGAAGCCACAGCUAACUUCGUGCCAGCAGCUGCGGUAAGACGAAGGUGGCAAGCGUUGUUCGGAUUCACUGGGCAUAAAGGGCGCGUAGGCGGUUUCGUAAGCGGCAUGUGAAAGCCCCUGGCUCAACCAGGGAAGUGCGUGCCGGACUGCGAAGCUAGAGGGUGGUAGGGGGGACUGGGAACUCU